rnacentral:lncRNA from 1 species
UCUAAUCUUAUUUGAUCUAUAUAUUUUAUUUCAUUAUUUUCCUAGAAUUGUAUUCUUUCAUGCAACCCCAAAUAAUCUUUAUAAAUACCUUUUGUAAAUACAAACCUUGUGAAAAUUUUUCAAGGAAAGAGUUGAAGUGAAACAUGGGUCACAGAGAUUAUCCUUGAUACUUUUAGCAAUUAACCCUUUAGCUAUUUCACCAUUUAUUGGCUUUGAUAUGUGUAAAUAAUGUUUUCAUCAAUACUUCCUAGCUUAUUAAUUUUAGAUAUUUAAUUUAAUUCUUAUUAUGGAUGAUUAUUUGGCUUUCACAAUAACUCCCAUUUUGAUCCAACCAUCAUUUCGUAACUGUAUACUUUUGGUUAAAUCAAUGUUCAGUAUUUACAUUAUUAUGACUUUGUAACUGUUGUUCACUGUUGUGCCAAUUUA